rnacentral:rRNA from 1 species
UGGGGGAUAUUGCACAAUGGGCGAAAGCCUGAUGCAGCGACGCCGCGUGAGGGAAGACGGCCUUCGGGUUGUAAACCUCUGUCAUUCGGGACGAAGCAAUGACGGUACCGAAGAAGGAAGCUCCGGCUAACUACGUGCCAGCAGCCGCGGUAAUACGUAGGGAGCGAGCGUUGUCCGGAAUUACUGGGUGUAAAGGGAGCGUAGGCGGGAAAGCAAGUUGGAAGUGAAAUGCAUGGGCUUAACCCAUGAGCUGCUUUCAAAACUGUUUUUCUUGAGUGAAGUAGAGGCAGGCGGAAUUCCUAGUGUAGCGGUGAAAUGCGUAGAUAUUAGGAGGAACACCAGUGGCGAAGGCGGCCUGCUGGGCUUUAACUGACGCUGAGGCUCGAAAGCGUGGGUAGCAAACA